UACGAAGGGGGCUAGCGUUGCUCGGAAUCACUGGGCGUAAAGCGCACGUAGGCGGAUUGUUAAGUCGGGGGUGAAAUCCUGGAGCUCAACUCCAGAACUGCCUUCGAUACUGGCGAUCUUGAGUCCGGGAGAGGUGAGUGGAACUCCGAGUGUAGAGGUGAAAUUCGUAGAUAUUCGGAAGAACACCAGUGGCGAAGGCGGCUCACUGGUCCGGUACUGACGCUGGGGUGCGAAAGCGUGGGGAGCAAACAGG
rnacentral:rRNA from 1 species